AUUUUUGUACUCAAACUAGAGAAACAACCAUGACUAACUAUCAGAAUAUUGUCUUCGGAGUGGACCUUGUGAAAGCCGCCCAAGAUGAAUACGACUUUCUGCUCAAGGUUGAUAGCUUGGAAUACCUUCGAAACGAUGUAGUUCUUCAGUAUGCCAUUCACCGCUACGAGAAUCUUUGGCUUCCUCUAGUCGCAUCUCUAAACGACGAAUAUAUCUUGCCAGAAUGCUUAGAGCCUCCAGUUGACAUAGCUUGGGUGUGGCAUUGUCACAUGCUAUCACCACAUAACUACGCCUCGUAUUGUAAGUCGUUAUUUGGAAAAGUGCUGGAUCAUUCUGUUUCUAAAUCCAGAGCUGCUUACGACUUAACACAAUCUACUUGGGCACGUCAUUAUCCCAAUGAACCAUUCGAAUUGAGUCAGGACAUCGUGUAUGGAAAUUGUCCCACUGUUCCACCUCAUCCAAGUAAAAGCGAUUCGUUCGAUCUUUUGGCAGCCAUUCAUCGGCAACAAGACUUUGUCUAUAACAUUCAUCUGCCUCAUUAUAGAAACAUGAUGUUUCUUGAAACGGGAUUGACAAGAUACAAACAGUAUUUUUUUUUGAAGAAAAAACAUCCGAAAGUAUUUCUUGUUCCCUGCUACGAUAUUGAUUUGAUCUGGCACACCCAUCAACUCCAUCCAAUUGAUUACGAGCGAGUCACAAAGUCGUUGCUUGGUUGGCUGCUCAUUCAUGACGAUACAGAUAGCGAUAGAAACCCAGGAUCUAAGCUUUCCAAUGCUUAUGAAGAAACAAGAAAACUUUGGCAAGACGAGUAUAAUGAAUCAUUUAUCAAAUCAGGUGCCAUGUACCGUGGAGAUUCUCCAAAAGGUAGACUCUACCUUCUCACUAAACAAGACAUUGAAGGAUUCUCAGGCAGAAAGGCAGAAGCAGUUAUUGAAAAUAUUUCUAUAUCUUUGCCUAAUCCAGUUGGCAACAAAAAUAUUAAACUUAAAAUAUUGAAAAACAAUUGGUCAAAGGGACUUCAACGUAUUCAAAAAUUAACAGGCAAAAUGGGGAACAUGACCUGGAAUAAUCUCAGUAAUGUACAAUUUUCAUAUGGACCUUCAGAUGCUACGCUUGUUUUUGAGCUAGCUACAAGAAACAACUUUUUUGGUGGAGGAUCCAAAGCAAUUGGUGGUUUUCAAGAACGGUUUGGGUUUUAUUUGCAGAACCCCGAGCGUAGUAAUGGCGGCUAUUUCAAAUUUGAAAGGGAAAUGCAAAUGUUAAGCACUGCAUCGGCAGCCAAAUGUAUCGUUGAUGGGAGAUUUGGAUGCCCGUCUCUUGCUGACAUAGUUUUACUUUUGGAACCAGGUACCUAUGAAGAGGCUAACAUGCCAACAAAUGUAGAUCAAUUAUGGGGUCCUGUUCCUUUGCCGAAAUCUGAUGCCGAAAACAUCUGCCAAGUUGCUUCGCAUAGAUUGCAAAACCCGAAUGGAAAUAUCGUUUUUACUUGCCGGAUAAUACACAGUGUUAAGACGAUGACAUCAGUUGUGCAUGUUUUCUUCCACGACAAAUUGGCAGCAGUUGCACAUGUUAUUGGAACUGACCAGCUACCAAUAGAAUCACAGACAUCUGAAAAUAUAUCCCUCAAUCCAGGUGCUGGGGAAAGAGCAGUCCUUAUAAAAACUGGAGAAGGUGAUUCUAUGAUACUUAUAGGAAAAUGGACAGGAUUUGUCCGGGGAGUUGCUGGGACACGAGGUAAGCAAGGAAUCCCUGGUAACCCCGGUCAUUUGGAAGUUAGAGUAUACCGAAUUGAUGCGAAAAGUGCUCCAACUGGAGAAAAAAUUUAUCUUUCUCAAUAUCAACCUCUAGAAUAUGAAGGUCUAACACUAGACUUGAAUAGAGUGCAGGAUGUGCUUCCGGAGGGAUUGUGUCUGAUUCUUGUGGCGUUGGCUUCGAUCAAAGCCAAUGUGUCAUCAAUUCCGAUGGAGGAGAUUUUGGUGGCGGGGGUGGUGGAGACAUCGGGGGUGGCGACGGUGGGGGUGGAUGUGGCGGAUGCGGUGGUUGUGGAGGCGGUUGUGGUGGCGGAGGAGGUUGUGGGGGCGGCGGCGGCGGAGGAGGCUGCGGGGGUGAUGGUGGAGGCGGAGGAUGCGGGGGUGGUGGAGGCUGUGGAGGUGGUGGUGGAUGUGGGGGUGGAUGUGGUGGUGGUGGCGGAUGUGGUGGUUGAGCAGGUUGUCAAUCUAAGAUAGUAAUUGCAAGUCUUUAAUGCUGUUGAAAAGAUUUUUAGGCGUUUGAUUAAAACAUGACAUGACUGUUGUCAUAUAAGAGCUUUUUGUGUUGAAAGUACGGAACAUGUCACUAAAUUAUUGCAUAUAUUCUAACAUUGUUUAUUUUGCUGUCUUAUGUUUGUAUAAUGUAUGUUGUCUUUUCUACGAAUCAUGAACAUAACGGAUAAUCAAUGCAAUCAAUUUUGUAUUUAUAUGUAAAGUGUGAUGUCUUAUAAUUUAUAUUUACAAUAUAUUACAAAGCUUUAUUUAACUCAUACCAGAUGCCAGAUUAUUUGCGACGAGGUGGCAGGAGGGUCAUGCAAUCCUUUUUACCAAAUCAAUCUCCAUUGAGGCGUAUAAAUAUAAAAGUGCAUCUAUUUGAUUUUCCUAAAAUUUUGGGAGAUAUAUAUUUUAUAUAUAUUAAGACCGGUUUAUGUUUGUUUCAUCAUAUAUUUAUAACUGUGUACCGCUUGUAAUCCUAUCAUUUCAGUUCUCCAUUAUCUAUUCUUUCAGUUUUGCAAAGAACUUUAUUCAUAAGACAUGGCAGCAGAAUGAAACAAUUAUCUCAUAAGAAUAAACUCUUCUUUAUCAGUAUCUUAUGAUUUUGCAUUUUUACGCUUUAAAAGUCUUAAUGAGGUAAAAUUGAAAAUGACUGUUUACAUAUUUUUGUUUUUCAUUAAAGAUUUGUUUUUAUAAAAAGC
rnacentral:sRNA from 1 species